rnacentral:rRNA from 1 species
GGUGAACGCUGGCGGCAUGGCUAAGGCAUGCAAGUCGAACGUUUCUCGCAAGAGAAGCGUGGCAGACGGGAGAGUAACACAUUGGUAAUCUGCCUCUAUCUUGGGUAUAACCCGGAGAAAUCUGGGAUAAUCCCCAAUAGUCAUGGGGGGACAUAUGUCAUUCCCAUGUAAAGUUCCGACGGAUAGAGAGGAGCCUAUGGCCCAUCAGCUUGUUGGUAAGGUAAUGGCCUACCAAGGCUACGACGGGUAGCAGGUGUGAGAGCAUGACCUGCCCCACUGGGACUGAGACACUGCCCAGACUCCUACGGGUGGCAG